rnacentral:rRNA from 1 species
UACGGAGGGGGUUAGCGUUGUUCGGAAUGACUGGGCGUAAAGCGCGCGUAGGCGGGCAUUUAAGUCGGGGGUGAAAUCCCGGGGCUCAACCCCGGAAUGGCCUUCGAUACUGGGUGCCUAGAGUUCGAGAGAGGUGAGUGGAAUUCCGAGUGUAGAGGUGAAAAUUCGUAGAUAUUCGGAAGAACACCGGUGGCGAAGGCGGCGUCCUGGACCAACACUGACACUGAGGAGCGAAAGCCAGGGAGCAAAACGGG